UACGUAGGUGGCAAGCGUUGUCCGGAUUUAUUGGGCGUAAAGCGCGCGCAGGCGGUCCUUUAAGUCUGAUGUGAAAGCCCACGGCUCAACCGUGGAGGGUCAUUGGAAACUGAGGGACUUGAGUGCAGAAGAGGAAAGUGGAAUUCCACGUGUAGCGGUGAAAUGCGUAGAGAUGUGGAGGAACACCAGUGGCGAAGGCGACUUUCUGGUCUGUAACUGACGCUGAGGCGCGAAAGCGUGGGGAGCAAACAGG
rnacentral:rRNA from 1 species